GAAGGAAGGUGGUUGAGAGAGAGGAAAUGAAGAGAGCAAAGAGGAAAGUGCAGUAGGCCUCAAGUGCUAGUAGUGUGCUGGCUUCAUCCUCUGGCCCUUCACCUUACGCCUGCAUUAUCUGUGGCAAAGGCUGUCACUCAGGAAUUUGAGAGAGAACACGGGUGAGGUAAUAUCUUUUAUUGGACCAACUUCUGUUGCUGAAAGAGACAAGCUUUUGAGCCACACAGAGCUCUUCUUCAGGUCUGCAAGAUGAACUGGACUUUUUAGCCACUCAUGAAUGACACACAGUAACUGAACCGCUUUGGCACUUACACCGUCAUCUUUCAAGACGAAAGUCUGCCAUUAUUAUCCUGUAGGACAGGAGAUCCCCUGUGGGAAAGGAGGAAUUUAAAGGCUCUACUUAUAACCAAAGGAUUAAACUUCUGCCUCAACUCUGAAUUUCCUUGCCUUUCUGAGUUUGUCAGACCACUAAAUGUCAUUUGAAUAUUAUAUGUUUAGUUUCCUAUUGAUUUAGUCUUUCAUAGUUUAAGAGAGACAAGAAAAUAAAGAAGGGAAGAAACAUUCCUCUGAGAGCCCCAGGAGAAGCAUUUCCCUUCUUGACACUGUCAGCAUUUUGAGAGGACAGACACGUAUACAGCAAAUCCAGUCUUCUCAGUCCAGACUCUUCUGCCAUUACUGGAAGCAGGAAGUACAAGAAACCUCACAGGGAAGUCUAUUCUCAAGUUGUUUCCAGCUCUGUUCUCUACUUCCACCACAAACUGCAGAAACUAGAAUAAUUCCUCUAAACACCUGAAUUUUGAUUGCAACUGAACCAAAACUAUGUACCUUUGAAGUUCACCCAUCACUAAAUUCAGUUCAUUCUCUCGUUCCAGCUAUUAGGAUGGAUAACAUUUAUUUUGGUAUCACCCUCUUUCAGGUGUAUAUCUGACUUCCUUAUUUUAUUUACUGUGUUAAGGUCAGUUGAUGCAGCUGGAGAAGAAUUCUAAAGAGGUGUUAGAAGAUUUAAAUGAAUAUAGAAAAAAAUAUUCCUACAAGCAACUUUGCAGAGGUUUUACUUAUUUCAGCACCAUUUCGAAGUAUCCAUCCAAGCAAUAGCACACGAUUUCUCACCCAUUCCAUACUUACAUUGUCCUAAUAGCUUUUCAUACAGUUAUUAUGUGACUUCUUCCAACCUUGCACACUGUAUGUGAUGACUUGCAGGUGUAUUUGAUGGAUUAGAGUGAUUUUUUUAACUUUUGCUUUUAUACAUAUAAUUCACGUUGGUACUGUAUUUACACCCUGGUCACCUUAGAGUUACUAAUCACAUCAAUUUAUUACAAUUUUAUGGCCCAGUCCAACACCUAUUGGGACCCAAUCGUGUAAAAAUAUAAACAUUAUUUUACCGAAAUGACUAAUUCAAUUAAAUUAUAAAUAAAAUAAAAUAAAUAAAAUUACCCACUCAUGUAAGUGUUUACAUGAUAGGGCCCUUAGGAGAUGUCACAAUACAGCAACAGUAAUACUCUGUAAUUUAUGAUAAAAUAUAAAGGUUUCUCCAAACAAAAGAAGGAUCUGAAAUUUACAGAAAAAAAACAAAAAUACAAUAUCCUGAAAAUAAAGAUUGAUAAGAAUAAUUUCUACACCUCUCCUCCCCUGCCUUGAGAUUGUGGGUAUUUUUCUUGAUUUAACCUAGGGGGUUGGUUAGUUUGUUUUUCGUCCCCUAAAAUUCUUCCUCAUUAAAGGGUCCUCAGUGCAUUUCAGUAGGUUGCGACUCUUAUCCCUGUCAUAGCAGAGAAGGCCUUACUUGGGACACAUACUCCAGAUGAUCUGAUAAUAUUCUGAAGGUCUCAACUUUGUUUUAAAUCCUUCAAACCUCUGUCCUUCUUCAGUGUGCUACAAUUCUUCCUUGUUGUACAAGACCAAUGUCAAUGUCAUUCUGAAACGGGCAUGAAAGAGGUGCUUGAGUAUCUACCAAACCUAUUUCCUUAAAGCUAGCCUAAGAAACAAGAGUUACCGUCCGAUUCUAAUUGGAAUUUUUCCUCUGAUUUUAAUCCAGUGGGUUUUGGAUUACUCCCUUAAUUCAUCAAUGGGUAAGAGCGGGGGAGGAAGGGAGAAGGCCUUUGUCAUGCCUGACAGGUACAAUCAAAUAUCUGCUCAAGAAAAGAGACAGUGAAGUUAAACUAAAUGUGUAGCCAACCCGAUUCAACAGAUAUAUUGUCUUGCUUCAGAUUUUCUUCGUUGAGAAAUUAACAUUUUUAUAUCUGAAUGGAAGAGAAUGCCUCAGGCACUAGAGAAAUUAACUAUUGUUCAUUUUUAUUAAGUUAUAAAAAGAAAAUUAAAGGUUCUUUGCAGCUAAUUCAAGAUACUACAGACAUGCUGUAAAGCAAAAGGUCCCUUGAGCUAUUCCUUUGUCGAAGAGCUCAUUGGCUCGAUGUACUACUUUUCUUCACAGUGUGGCACAUGUGUGACAAAUGUGGAAAUGUUGGUAAUAUUUUUAUGAUUCCUGUGCUCACGUUAGUUUCCCUCUGUGCUUUGUGUUGCUAUACACUGAGCAUGAAGGGAAGGGACGAGAUGUUUGAUUCACAAAGCAGCUCAAUUGGAAACCAAAGUCAUUAACAAACUGAAUAGAGCAUAUACAUGUGACCAGAGGGUUUGGAAGAGAAAAUGGAAUUCCCAAUGGCCAGCACGUUCACACCUACUGACCAACAGCCAAGUGGAGAUUUCCCUCCACCUGUCUGCAGGGAAGCAGAGUAUAGGCCCCGAGCCAGGGAAAUAAAGAGAAAGAUGUCAGGUGGCUCUGGUAAGAGCCAAGCUCACAGAGACACAGGGCUCUCAACUAGGUGUUAAGGGUUUAUCUACACUUACAGCGCUGCAGUGGAGCAGCUGCACCAUAGCACUUAGUGAAGACACUACCUAGGCCGACAGGAGAUUUUCUCCCAUCAGCAUAGGUACUCCACCUCCCCAAGAGGCGGUA